UGCAGGACACCCAGAGGACCAUCUCCUCAGACGAGACUGGACCUGGACAAGGUUACCCAGAGACAAGAGCGGUUCAGUGAUUGUUCAGCCAUGCUCGAGCUAGAGAAGAAGGAGCGACGGAUGUUGGAGCGGCGUGUGGCUGAGCUGGAGGAGGAGUUGAAGGUGAAAAGAGAGAACAUGAUCACACCUGGGUUCAAAUAGUAUACGAAAUCUUUCAAAUACGUUAGCUGGGCCCAAACCCUGGUCACCUGGCACUCCAGGCAGGCUAAAGCAAAUGCUGAAAGUCCUUACUCCACACAGACUCUCUGCCUGAACCCAGGUUUUACUCCAAGCAGACUCUCUGGUUGAACCCAGGUUUUACUCCACACAGACUCUCUCUGGUUGAAUCCAGGUUAUACUCCACACAGACUCUCUGGUUGAACCCAGGUUAUACUCCACACAGACUCUCUGGUUGAACCCAGGUUAUACUCCACACAGACUCUCUGCCUGAACCCAGGUUAUACUCCACACAGACUCUGCCUGAACCCAGGUUAUACUCCACACAGACUCUCUGCCUGAACCCAGGUUAUACUCCACACAGACUCUCUGGUUGAACCCAGGUUAUACUCCACACAGACUCUCUGGUUGAACCCAGGUUAUACUCCACACAGACUCUCUGCCUGAACCCAGGUUAUACUCCACACAGACUCUCUGGUUGAACCCAGGUUAUACUCCACACAGACUCUCUGGUUGAACCCAGGUUAUACUCCACACAGACUCUCUGGUUGAACCCAGGUUAUACUCCACACAGACUCUGCCUGAACCCAGGUUAUACUCACACAGACUCUCUGGUUGAACCCAGGUUAUACUCCACACAGACUCUCUGGUUGAACCCAGGUUAUACUCCACACAGACUCUCUGGUUGAACCCAGGUUAUACUCCACACAGACUCUCUGGUUGA